CCUCCGCCCUGAAAACUCCUUCCUCACUCCUAACACUCAUCCAUAGAUUCCACCCUAAGUGACCCUCAAACCCACAAUCUCCCCCAUUUUAUGACCCAGCCCCAAACUCUCCCGAGUACCUCUCUCUCACCAUACAUCCCUCCCUCUGCUCAGUCUGGGCCCAGGCCUUGUUUCCCUGAAGACAUGGAGUUUGUGUCUGGAUACCGGGAUGAGUUCCUUGAUUUCGUUGCCCUCCUCUUUGGCUGGUUCCGCAAGUUCGUGGCGGAGCGCGGGGCCGUGAGAACCAGCCCGGAGGGUUGCUGGUGGCAGCUGGAGGCUCAGAUCAGAAGGCUGCCCCAGGACCGCGCCCUUUGGGUGCUCCACGUCUUGCCCAACCGUAGUGUGGGCAUCAGCCUGGGGCAAGGGGCAGAGCCAGGCCCUGCACCAGGCCUGGGGGCUGCCCGGCUCCUGGGAGACGAGCCCCCACUCCACCUGCGGGACCUAAGCCCCUAUGUCAGCUUUGUCAGCCUGGAGGAAGGGGGAGAGGAGGAGGGCGCAGGCACCGAGAAAGUAGAAACAGAGGCGGAUGGGAAGCCAGCCCCUACCAGCAGGGAGUCCCCACGGGAAGCAAAACCCCCAGGGGAGGCAGACGGGGCCCAGCAGGAGGCAGCAGGUGGCGAGGUCGGCUGCCAAGAGGACAGAGCGGAGGACAAACCAGGGCCUGAGAGAAGAAAGGGACAGAGAAGUGAGGCGGCCCCCCUGCACCUUUCCUGCCUCCUACUGGUGACGGAUGAACACGGCACCAUCUUGGGCAUUGACCUGCUGACGGAUGGAGGGCAGGGGAGUGCAGGCAGGGGCUCAGGGACACAGAACCUGGCUCCUCGGGCCUAUGCUCUCCUCUGCCACAGCAUGGCCUGUCCCAUGGGCUCUGGAGACCCCCGAAAGCCCCGAAAGCUUACUGUGGGAGACGCCCAGCUGCAUCGGGAGCUGGAGAAUCUGGUCCCAAGGCUGAAAGUGAAGCUAACCAAGACCCCGAUGCGGACAUGGGGUCCCCGGCCCGGCUUCACCUUUGCCUCCCUUCGGGCUCGAAACUGCCAUGUUUGUCACAGGCAUAGCUUUGAAGUGAAGCUAACCCCCUGCCCCCAGUGUGGCGCUGUCUUGUACUGCGGAGAGGCUUGUCUCCAGGCUGACUGGAAGCGAUGCCCAGAUGAUGUGAGCCAUCGAUUUUGGUGCCCAAGGCUUGCAGCCUUCAUGGAGCGGGCCGGAGAACUGGCAACUCUGCCUUUUACCUACACCGCAGAGGUGACCAGUGAAACCUUUAACAAGGAGGCCUUCCUGGCCUCACGAGGCCUCACUCGUGGCUACUGGACCCAGCUCAGCAUGCUGAUUCCAGGCCCUGGCACCCUCGGGCACCCAAGGGGCAGCACACCAUCCCUCAGCGUUCUUCUCAAUGGAGAUCCCUACCAGCUUCUUCAGGGGGAUGGGCCUGCUCUGAUGCCUCCUGUGCCCCCAGAUCCACCCAGGGGCCUCUUUGGCUCGUGGCAGGAUUACUACACAUGGCGGGGCCUCAGCUUGGACUCCCCCAUGGCUGUGCUUCUCACCUACCCGCUGACUAUGUACUACGUCAUCACCCAUCUGGUGCCCCAGUCCUUCCCUGAGCUCAACAUCCAGAACAAACAGUCACUGAAAAUCCACGUGAUGGAGGCUGGGAAGGAGUUUGACCUCAUCAUGGUGUUUUGGGAGCUCUUGGUCUUGCUCCCCAACGUGGCCCUGGAGCUGCAGUUUGUGGGUGACAGCCUGCCCCCUGAGAGUGACCAGCAGAAUUUUACCUUGCAGAGGGUGAGGGCUGAGGGGGGUGCCCUGCUCUUUAGCCCUAACCCUCCUGCUGUCCUCCCAGCUGGGCUCUGCCCUUCCGAUCCCUGCCUCCUCUCCCCUGUCUUACCUGAUGCAUCUCCCAGUACCAAAACUUCCACCGGCUUCUCCACCCCACUCCAAACUCCCCAGGAUGACCUCGAAGUAUCUGUCCGUCCUGGUUCCGGGGUAUCAGCACGGCUAAGCUCUGGGACUAAGGAGAAGGGGGGCCGCAGGGACCUGCAGAUCAAGGUGUCUGCACGGCCCUACCACCUGCUCCAGGGGCCCAAGCCUGACUUGGUUAUCGGAUUUAACUCUGGCUUUGGUCUAAAGGACACUUGGCUGAGCUCGCUGCCCCGGUUACAGUCCCUCCGAGUGCCGGCCUUCUUCACCGAGAGCAGCGAGUACGGCUGUGUGAUGGACGACCAGACCAUGGCGGUGGCCACGGGAGGGGGCACCAGCCCUCCACAGCCCAACCCUUUCCGCUCCCCCUUUCGCCUCAGAGCGGCGGACAACUGUAUGCCCUGGUACUGCAACGCCUUCAUCUUCCACCUCGUCUACAAGCCUCUGCAAGGGAGCUGGGCCCGCCCGGCGCCAGGGCCCGCGCCUCCCGCCCCAACUCCUACCGCUCCUCCCGCCCCCGCCCGUAGGCGCCGAGGAGAAAAGAAACCUGGGCUGAGGGCCCGCCGGCGGAGGUGAGGGCGGAGAGGUAGAAGUUCACCCCCUCCCCUAACACGCCUCAGAAAGGAACACGAAACCGGCGAGGCCGAGGGGGAGGCCAGUUGGCGGAACACGAAAGCUUUUGGGGACUUCCCUGGUGGCGCAGUGGUUAAGAAUCCGCCUGCCAGUGCAGGGGGCACGGGUUCGAGCCCGGGUCCAGGAAGAUCCCACAUGCCGCGGAGCAACUAAGCCCAUGCGCCACAACUACUGAGCCUGCGCUCUGGAGCCCACGAGCCACAACUACUGAAGCCCGCGUGCCUAGAGCCCAUGCUCUGCAACAAGAGAAGCCACCGCAAUGAGAAGCCUGCGCACCGCAACAAAGAGUAGCCCCCGCUCGCUGACACUAGAGAAAGGCUGCGAGCAGCAACGAAGACACAACGCAGCCAAAAAUAAUAAAUAAAUAAAUGUAUAAUAUGUUAUGAACAGCUUUUUAUGUCAUUAGAUAGUCUCUUUGUCUCAUCUGUCUAUACAGAUGGCUGUAUAUUAGUUUACUUUAUGAAUGUGACAUGGCCUAGUGGGACAUUUAGGCAGUUCCUAAUUUUUCUCUCUUAUAAAGGAAAGAGGAAGUAGAAAGUGUCCCAGCUGGGAACCAAAGCAGGACCCAAGACUGUCUGGGAAC